rnacentral:rRNA from 1 species
UAGAGUUUGAUCCUGGCUCAGGAUGAACGCUAGCGGCAGGCCUAACACAUGCAAGUCGAGGGGUAACAGAUUUAGCAAUAAAUGCUGACGACCGGCGCACGGGUGAGUAUCGCGUUUGCAACCUACCUUUAACUGGGGGAUAGCCCGGAGAAAUCCGGAUUAAUACCCCAUAACAUUAUAAAGAGGCAUCUCUUUAUGAUUAAAGCUCCGGCGGUUAAAGAUGGACAUGCGUGACAUUAGCUAGUUGGUGAGGUAACGGCUCACCAAGGCAACGAUGUCUAGGGGGUCUGAGAGGAUGAUCCCCUACACUGGUACUGAGACACGGACCAGAUUCCUACGGGAGGCAGCAGUGAGGAAUAUUGGGCAAUGGGCGCAAGCCUGACCCAGCCAUGCCGCGUGCAGGAUGACGGCGCUAUGCGUUGUAAACUGCUUUUGUACAGGAAGAAACCCAUCUACGUGUAGGUGGUUGACGGUACUGUCAGAAUAAGCAUCGGCUAACUCCGUGCCAGCCGCCGCGGUAAUAC